AGGUACUGUAGGUACCAAUGGGGAAACAACAGAAGAACGAUGAGGGCAUUGUCUCUAGGUUCAUUCUUAUUUUGAAGAAUAAGUAGUCAAAUCAAGGAUUGAUCGGCGAGUGAUCAAGCGGAGCGAUCUCGGGUUGUACGUGUUUGCGUUGAAUCUGUUGAGUGGCGAUCCCUUCAUGAAUUAAAAAUUGUUGCCAUACUUUGACACCUGCCAGUUUACUGGUUGCUAUAAAUUGUGAAGGAAUCAAGUUGUGGGCAAAUAUUGAAAGAAUGUGCCUCUGAACAUAGUUUCAGUAGUAGUGCCACUUGGAGAGAUCAACAUUAUUUGUUUACUCAUCCAAUGAAGGUCUUGCAGCAUGACCAGUAUUAUGGUCAGUUGUCGAGUGCAACAUCCUCCAGUUUUUAUUUAGUUUCAC